rnacentral:rRNA from 1 species
UACGUAGGGUGCGAGCGUUAAUCGGAAUUACUGGGCGUAAAGCGUGCGCAGGCGGUUUUGUAAGCCAGAUGUGAAAGCCCCGGGCUUAACCUGGGAAUGGCAUUUGGGACUGCAAGGCUUGAGUGCGGCAGAGGAGACUGGAAUUCCUAGUGUAGCAGUGAAAUGCGUAGAUAUCAGGAGGAAUACCGAUGGCGAAGGCAGGUCUCUGGGCUGACACUGACGCUCAUGCACGAAAGCGUGGGGAGCAAACAGG